AGUGAACGCUGGCGGUAGGCCUAACACAUGCAAGUCGAACGGCAGCACAGUAAGAGCUUGCUCUUACGGGUGGCGAGUGGCGGACGGGUGAGGAAUACAUCGGAAUCUACUUUUUCGUGGGGGAUAACGUAGGGAAACUUACGCUAAUACCGCAUACGACCUACGGGUGAAAGCAUGGGAUCUUCGGACCUUGCGCGUUUGAAUGAGCCGAUGUCGGAUUAGCUAGUUGGCGGGGUAAAGGCCCACCAAGGCGACGAUCCGUAGCUGGUCUGAGGGGAUGAUGGGCCACAAUGGAAGGGAGAAACGGUCCAGACGACUACGGGGGGGCGCAGUGGGGGAGAAUAGGACAAGGGGGGAAACCUGGUGCAGCCGUGACGCGUGGGGGGAGAAGGACUUCGGGGUGUAAAGACCCUUUUGUGGGAAAGAAAAGCAGCAGGUUAAUACCCCGCUGUUCUGACGGUACCCAAAGAAUAAGCACCGGCUAACUUCGUG
rnacentral:rRNA from 1 species